rnacentral:rRNA from 1 species
AUUGAACGCUGGCGGAAUGCUUUACACAUGCAAGUCGAACGGCAGCACGGACUUCGGUCUGGUGGCGAGUGGCGAACGGGUGAGUAAUGUAUCGGAACGUGCCCAGUCGUGGGGGAUAACGUAGUGAAAAUUACGCUAAUACCGCAUACGAUCUAUGGAUGAAAGCGGGGGAUCGCAAGACCUCGCGCGAUUGGAGCGGCCGAUAUCAGAUUAGGGAGUUGGUGGGGGAAGGCCCACCAAGCCAACGAUCUGUAGCUGGUCUGAGAGGACGACCAGCCACACUGGAACUGAGACACGGUCCAGACUCCUACGGGAGGCAGCAGUGGGGAAUUUUGGACAAUGGGCGAAAGCCUGAUCCAGCCAUUCCGCGUGCAGGAUGAAGGCCCUCGGGUUGUAAACUGCUUUUGUACAGAACGAAAAGGUUUCUACUAAUACUAGGAGCUCAUGACGGUACUGUAAGAAUAAGCACCGGCUAACUACGUGCCAGCAGCCGCGGUAA